rnacentral:rRNA from 1 species
UACGUAGGUGGCAAGCGUUGUCCGGAUUUACUGGGCGUAAAGAGCGCGCAGGCGGUCGAAUAAGUCGAAUGUGAAAGCCCCCGGCUUAACUGGGGAGGGUCAUUCGAUACUGGUCGACUUGAAGGCAGGAGAGGUAGCUGGAAUUCUUGGUGUAGCAGUGAAAUGCGUAGAGAUCAAGAGGAACACUCGUGGCGAAAGCGAGCUACUGGACAAUUCCUGACGCUGAGGCUCGAAGGCUAGGGUAGCGAAAGGG